UAGCAUUAUUAUUAAUAGUUUGUCCAAAGACGGAUUAGUUGAUGAUGCUUUGACACUUCUUGCCGAAAUGAGUGAGAGGCAUUCAACCAAAUGUUGUAACCUACAACUCAUUAAUUCAUGGUA
rnacentral:miRNA from 1 species